GAUGAACGCUGGCGGCGUGCUUAACACAUGCAAGUCGAACGGAAAGGCCCAAGCUUGCUUGGGUACUCGAGUGGCGAACGGGUGAGUAACACGUGGGUGAUCUGCCCUGCACUUCGGGAUAAGCCUGGGAAACUGGGUCUAAUACCGGAUAGGACGAUGGUUUGGAUGCCAUUGUGGAAAGUUUUUUCGGUGUGGGAUGAGCUCGCGGCCUAUCAGCUUGUUGGUGGGGUAAUGGCCUACCAAGGCGUCGACGGGUAGCCGGCCUGAGAGGGUGUACGGCCACAUUGGGACUGAGAUACGGCCCAGACUCCUACGGGAGGCAGCAGUGGGGAAUAUUGCACAAUGGGCGCAAGCCUGAUGCAGCGACGCCGCGUGGGGGAGGACGGCCUUCGGGUUGUAAACUCCUUUCGCUAGGGACGAAGCGUUUUUGUGACGGUACCUGGAGAAGAAGCACCGGCUAACUACGU
rnacentral:rRNA from 1 species